UACGUAGGGUGCAAGCGUUGUCCGGAAUUAUUGGGCGUAAAGCGCGUGUAGGCGGAUGAGCAAGUCUGCUGUGAAAGCUCCUGGCUUAACCGGGAGUGGUCGGUGGAAACUGCUCGUCUGGAGGACGGUAGAGGUAGGUAGAAUUCCCGGUGUAGCGGUGAAAUGCGUAGAUAUCGGAAGGAACAUCAGUGGCGAAAGCGACUUCCUGGACCAGUACCGACGUUCAGGCACGAAAGCGUGGGGAGCAAACAGG
rnacentral:rRNA from 1 species